rnacentral:rRNA from 1 species
UCUCGGGUGACGAGUGGCGGACGGGUGAGUAAUGUCUGGGAAACUGCCUGAUGGAGGGGGAUAACUACUGGAAACGGUAGCUAAUACCGCAUAACGUCGCAAGACCAAAGAGGGGGACCUUCGGGCCUCUUGCCAUCAGAUGUGCCCAGAUGGGAUUAGCUAGUAGGUGGGGUAACGGCUCACCUAGGCGACGAUCCCUAGCUGGUCUGAGAGGAUGACCAGCCACACUGGAACUGAGACACGGUCCAGACUCCUACGGGAGGCAGCAGUGGGGAAUAUUGCACAAUGGGCGCAAGCCUGAUGCAGCCAUGCCGCGUGUAUGAAGAAGGCCUUCGGGUUGUAAAGUACUUUCAGCGGGGAGGAAGGUGUUGUGGUUAAUAACCGCAGCAAUUGACGUUACCCGCAGAAGAAGCACCGGCUAACUCCGUGCCAGCAGCCGCGGUAAUACGGAGGGUGCAAGCGUUAAUCGGAAUUACUGGGCGUAAAGCGCACGCAGGCGGUCUGUCAAGUCGGAUGUGAAAUCCCCGGGCUCAACCUGGGAACUGCAUUCGAAACUGGCAGGCUAGAGUCUUGUAGAGGGGGGUAGAAUUCCAGGU